CCCGGUCGCACGUGGAGUUGUUGUGGGUCGGAGGUCACGUGACGCGGAAGUGGCCCUGCAGGCCCCGCCCCAAGAUGGCGGCGCCCUGUGCCCGGUGCCGUGACCCUCUCGUGCUCGCCCUGCAGUCGUAGGUGGACGGAACCCGCGGGCUAUGGAUCGGCCUGGCCUGACCGCCUCGCUGCUGGCUGGUGGAGUAGCAGGUGUUUGUGUGGACUUGAUAUUAUUUCCACUGGAUACCAUUAAAACCAGGCUGCAGAGUCCCCAAGGAUUUAAGAAGGCUGGUGGUUUUCGUGGGAUAUAUGCUGGCGUCCCUUCUACUGCUAUUGGAUCCUUCCCUAAUGCUUCUGCUUUUUUUAUCACCUAUGAAUAUGUGAAAAGUUCUUUGCACACUGAUUCAUCUUCAUAUUUGGUGCCUAUGAAGCAUAUGUUGGCUGCCUCGGCUGGAGAAGUGGUUGCCUGCCUGAUUCGAGUUCCUUCUGAAAUAGUUAAGCAGAGGGCACAGGUAUCAGCUUCUUCACGAACAUUUACAAUUUUUUCAAACAUCCUGUAUGAAGAGGGCAUCCAAGGACUAUAUCGAGGCUACAAGAGCACAGUAUUGCGAGAGAUCCCUUUCUCAUUGGUCCAGUUUCCAUUAUGGGAAUCCUUAAAAGCCCUGUGGUCCUGGAGGCAGGACCGGGCGGUGGAUUCUUGGCAGUCGGCUGUCUGCGGAGCUUUUGCAGGUGGAUUUGCGGCUGCGGUCACCACACCGCUGGACGUAGCAAAAACAAGAAUCAUGUUGGCGAAGGCUGGUUCCAGCGCCGCGAGCGGGAACGUGCUGUCCGCGCUGCACGGGGUGUGGCAGGCGCAGGGGCUGUCGGGAUUAUUUGCAGGUGUCGUCCCUCGAAUGGCGGCCAUCAGCCUGGGCGGGUUCAUCUUUCUCGGGGCUUAUGACCAGACUCGCCACUUGCUGCUGGCACUUGGCACGGAGCGCCCCUGAGACCUCUGCACCCGCUCCUUCUGAGAAGGGGACUGCUCUGAGGCCCGCCUCCCUCCCACGGAGCAGCACAGCUCUGCCGAGCAACUGAGGACAAGCCUUUCCAACAGAGACUAGGAUCGCCAUCUCAGCGAACAUUCCUUCCCGAGGAGCCAUUCAGAGCUAAGUCACCCCAGAGUCUAGCUCGCCGUUCCUGGAAAACCUCACGGCCCUGCACCAACAAACAGAGGCUGGUCCACAGCAGGAGAAAGAAGGAAGAGGAAAACGCGUGGCUUUCCCUGUCAUGACCUAUCCCUGCAACACGGGGACACCGGUGUGCUUCUUGGAACGCCCAGGGUCGUGGUGCUGCCGUGGCCACACUCUUCCCACCAUUUCACUUCGACAGGAACGAAGCAGCCAAAUGGACUGGAACUCUGGGAGAUGGGUACAGGGCUGGGCCACAGCCGCUUAUGCUCAGGGAUCACUCCUGGAGUGACCCGGGGAAGCGUGUGUGGUGCUGGAGACUGAACCGGAGCUGGCUGCAGGCAAGAUCAGUGCCCUGCCCACGCCUAGACUCUCCAGCCUCUGGAGUUCGGGUGUCUCCUGUUGGACUCUGGCCUUGGGAUGAGCAGAGAACCUGACGACAAGCUAGUCAGCAGCAGAUAAGGAAGAAAAUCUACACCAGAGAGAACCCGAGAAUGAGUCAAUUCAGUAACAAUCUCCUCUCCUAAUGAGUCAGGAAGAGAGGGACAGACAGAGAAGGACUGCGCUCAUUUGUGUAGUAUAAACUAACAUAACACAAGACCGACACCCAAGGACUGUAGAUACAAGGGCCAGGGGGACUGCCCCAUAGCUGGAAGCCUGCCUCACUAGCAGGUGGAGAGAGGACAGCUGGAAAAGAGAAAGGAUCACUAAGAAAAUGAUGGCUGGAGGAACCAGUCGGGAUGGGAGAUGUGUGCCGAACGUAUAUAAUGGACCAAACAUGAUGACCUCCCAGUGUCUGUGUCGCAAGCCAUAAUGCCCAAAAGCAGAGAGAGUGUGGGGAAUAUUGUCUACCAUGGAGGCAGGGGGAGGGUGGGAAAGGGGGGCUAUACUGGGGAUAUUGGUGGUGGGGAAUGUGCACUGGUGGAGGGAUGGGUGUUUGAUCAUUGUGAGAUUGUAACCCAAACAUGAAAGCUUCUAACUAUCUCAUGGUGAUUCAAUAAAAUUAAAAUAAUUUCCUCUCCUGUCUGUCAUUGUACCCAGAUUAGGCAUCUUGUUAAGGUAUUUGGG